GGCUGAGUAAGGGGGAUUGCUCUCUCUGCCUGUCUUUGAGGCAUUGUUCCUGAGAGUAGCUUCAAUAAGCCACGUGGAUGCAAUUAUCCAGCUCAGGGGUUGUUUCUUAUGGAAUCCAACCUAUGACUGUUGACGCCAGGAGUGGUCCUGGGAAGGAGACUCUGAAAAUUUUGGAGCUGGCUGGGAAUAAGAGUCCUGUUGCUGUUGAAACAGAGCAUCUGACUUUGGGAUAUCAAAUGACUGUGUGGCCAGAACCGUCCAUCAUCAGCUGAGUUUUAAUCAGCUCAUAAAUUCAGAAGAGUAGACGAUCCAAGAAGCAUUUCAUCCUGCAGUGAGAAUGUACAUCCAGGACUGGACCUGAGGAGGGCUGUACAGCACAAUAAGCUGCAAGUGCAGAUAUCUGAGAGCAACCUUCUGCCAGGAUUUGCCCUGCCCACAGGCGUUAGCAUGGACUUGAUGACUGCGGUGUGGCUUUUACUUUCUCAAUUUUCCAGAGCUCAUACUCCUCAAACUCCAGAGGAAUAAGAUUUCUUUUUCUCUGGAAAUGUCUACUGAAUACAGAAAUGAACACACUGAAAUAUUUUCAUGCAUUGCCUCAGAGGAAGGGUGACCGAAGGAGAGCUCGAGAAACGGAAAGAGAAUGAGAACAGAGAGAGAUAAAGAAAAGCAUACAAAAUAUUUAUUGCUGCAUUUCCGUGCCUUCUCCACAAUAUUGAGGCCUGAAUUAGGUAGGUAGUUGAAAUCUCUCUAAAAGUGAGUCAGAUAUUGUGUCCGGAAUUGGUGGGUUCUUGAUCGCACUGACUUCAAGAAUGAAGCCGUGGACCCUCGCGGUGAGUGUUACAGCUCUUAAGGUGGCGCGUCUGGAGUCUGCCCCUUCUGAUGUUCAGAUGUGUUCGGAGUUUCUUUCUUCUGGUGGGUUCGUGGUCUCUCUGGCUCAGGAGUGAAGCUGCAGAUCUUCGCGGUGAGUGUUACAGCUCUUAAGGUAGCGUGUCUGGAGUUGUUCAUUUCUCCCUGUGGGCUCGUGGUCUUGCUGGGCUCAGGAGUGAAGCUGUAGAUCUUCGCAGUAAGUGUUACAGCUCAUAAAAGCAGCAUAGACCCAGAGUGAGCAGUAGCAAGAUUUAUUGCAAAGAGCGAAAGAACAAAGCUUCCACAGUGUGGAAGGGGACCCGAGCGGGUUGCCAAUGCUGGCUCGGGCAGCCUGUUUUUAUUCUUAUCUGGCCCCACCCACAUCCUGCUGAUUGGUAGAGCCGAGU
rnacentral:lncRNA from 10 species